rnacentral:rRNA from 1 species
UACGGGGGGUGCGAGCGUUGUCCGGAAUCACUGGGCGUAAAGAGCGUGUAGGCGGCCUGGAAGGUCCGUUGUGAAAACUCGAGGCUCAACCUCGAGACGUCGAUGGAAACCCUCAGGCUAGAGUCCGGAAGAGGAGAGUGGAAUUCCUGGUGUAGCGGUGAAAUGCGCAGAUAUCAGGAAGAACACCUAUGGCGAAGGCAGCUCUCUGGGACGGUACUGACGCUGAGACGCGAAAGCGUGGGGAGCGAACAGG